CCCACACACUGACAGAUAUACUGACACCCACAUACACUGAGAAAUACUGACACACACACACAGGCACAUACACUGACACACACAGACUGAUAUACUGACACACACACACACACAGACAUACUGGCACACAGACAGAUAUACUGACACAUGCAUACACAUGCACUAACAGACAUACUGACACACUGACAGACAUACUGACACA